rnacentral:lncRNA from 1 species
UCACAGUUCUCGUUAGGAGGGCAGAAGGGGAGGGUAAAAUACACGGAAACUCAAGUCAGAAUCACAUGUGACAUUGCACCCUUGGAAAAACAGCUCCUGUUUUACAGAAAAGUAUUCUGUAUGCAGUGAGCCUAACAAGAUGGAAAGCAAUGCAUACCCCGUUUAUUCUCUUUAAAGAAUUAGGCCAGGCAAAGGGGCUCACGCCUGUAAUCCCAGUACUUUGGGAGGCCCAGGCAGGCACAUUAACUGAGGUUAGGAGUUCGAGAACAGCUUGGUCAACAUGGUGAAACCCAUAUUCUAUUAAAACACACACACACACACACAAAUCGGGCAUGAUGGCAUGCACCUGUAAUCCCAGCUACUUGGGAGGCUGAGGUGGGAGGAUGGCUUGAGCCCAGGAGGCAGAGGCUGCAAUAAGACAUAUUCAGGCCACUGCACUCCAGGCUGGGCGACACAGCGAGAACCCCUCCCCCACCCCCCCAAAAAAGAAAGAAUUAAUUUCCCAUAAAACGGGAAAGGGCAGCGGGCUUGGGAUCUUGCCCACAGUUCUUAACUCGAGGCGGCACUGAGUAAGGGAGGCUUUUAAAGAGCUGGAGCAACAAAACCACCAGGAAACGAGGCAACACUAUGCUACAAGGGUAAGCCUUUGCCUCAGGAGCUCAAGGGCUCCGCGCAUCCACAGCCUCUUUUAAGACAAGCAGAAAAUACCCAAGGAGAAAAGCACCGACCACACGGCAUAAAGGCCCGCUGAAUCGGGGGGACGAAAAGCAGACGGCCGUGAAACUCCUAAAUAAUACCUAAAAGUUAAAAGUGGCAGAAAAUAAAAACAAUACUCCCCAGAGACCUGCACCGACCUGCCGAAGACCCGCGGAGUCCACUACGGAGGUCAAGCCGCGGGACACAGCAGCCAGGUCUCGCCGGAAACGCGGUUGCGUGCGCGCUGCGCCCCGGGGGCGUGGCAGGGCGGGGAGAAAGGCGGGACGUCGUGGCGCGUGCGCAGUGUCCUUGGAGAGAGCGGGGAGUGGGGCGGGGCAUCGCGGCGAGCGCCGUUGGCGGGGAACCGGGCGGGGAAUCUCUGUGCUUCCUCAGUCCCCAGGCCCAGCACCUGCAGGGCCGACCAGCUCCAGUCCCACGUCCAAUCCUGAGUGGCCAAAAGCCGGAAACCCGGAGUUGGAAUUGGGUCUUGCACAAGCUGGACCACGUAAGCUGGGCCAGGCCAGAGGUGGAGGCCACCGCUGCGGGAGGAGGGCAUCUGAUGAUUUUGAAGGACCCCAUUAAUAGAGGGUAUAAACCAGGAGUGAGGCUACUUGAGAAGCAUCUUAAAUGGGGAGAGAGAGCAAGUUAAAUCUGAUUUCCACGCAGCUCUGUGGAUUCCGAAUGUCCACAGUAUGUUAUCUCCAUUCCCACUUCCGAGCCGCUCCUCUUCUGUGUGUUUCCUGCACCACCAUUCGCUCAGUUGCUCUACACUAAAAUUUGCUGUCAUCGUUGACUUCUCCCUCUCCUUCAUCCCCUACAAGUAUCAACAUAGACAACUCCGAUCAAUAUAAUCAUCAGUGAAUAAAGCAAAUUGCAGCGCAUAUUCUUAAAGACAAACUUUCCACUUGCAGCAGCACCUACCUUCCAGAUAGCUAAAUUGAAGCCCGUGUUUAUCAUAGCUGCUUCUAACCAGCCAAAGCUGAUAAUAACUAAGAACUUGCAGGAAUUGCAGUAUGCCAGACCUUCAAUUUAAUUGAAGACUUUCCUGAACAAUUAAUGAGACUUGUCUUAACCAGCAGGGAACGACUUUAGGGACGCAUUCUUCCCUAUGCAGGUGCAAGCCUCAAACGUUAAUUAGGAUCAUCCACCAUGAUCCUCGAGCCCUUCCCCACCUUAUACUUGAAGAGGCUGAACCUCAGAGAAUUAAAUUACCUACAGUCCUGGUCACUGGUAGAGCUAUUAUUUAAAGUAAGAUCUAAUGUCAAAGCCUGCGUCCUUAAUUCUACCAUAUGCUGCUGCUUGCAGUGUCGUUCCUCAACCAGAACACAUAGCUCUUCUGUGUAGGUAAAGUCCAUCAAAACAUGUCAUAAAAUAAAGAAAUUGGUUUCUGCUCUAUUUCAAUUAGUACCAGAGUAAAACAAUCAAUGAUUUGUGUUUGGGAAUAUUUCUAGUUGGCACCCUCAGAAUCUAGGAUAGCACCCGGCACACAUGGUGAGCACUCACUACAUGGCUGUCGGAUAAACAAUGGAGCAAGGAAGGUGGAGAUGGAUGCUUACAUAUGGGGAACUGUAUCAGGAAGGAGUGUAUGUGUGAUUAAAACCUGUUCUACAUAAAUAGAAAAGUUGAUCAUUCAACACAUGGACGGCUAAGACUAUAUGCAGACUAUCCAUUCUCAGGAGGAAAAGGGAAGCAAUCUACCUGACCUCCCCAGAUGGAUUCCGUAUUUUGAUAUGAAUUGUUUUCAUGUGGGAAAUGCGAUGGCCUCCGGGUAUACUACCUCUCAGAGAUCAGUGAGCAGAAAAGCUCACAGAUCAAAUUAAAAUGCUUGAAUCUCUUAGUUUAUUUAAAUCAAUUUAAAGAGACAGUGAAAAGCAAGAGGAAAGAGGUGGAAUAAGUAAACGCUGUUAAGAGAUGGUGCAAAUCUGGUGGAAGACGCCUGCUACCUAAAGCCUACCUCAUACAAUGUUCAGGGGCCACCAUCCCCCACCUGCCCCAACCUCCACUCCUCUCUGUGAUACUGACUUUCCUGUGGAUGGUGGUGCUGAAGACGAGAGGUUUGAGCAAGGAGACUCAAAGAGGCAAGGUGCCCCACGCCAAUGACACAAACUUGCUCUGUCCGAGAUGCAGGUACAAGCAAGCCUGGCAAAGAGCUGAGCUUUGCCUAUUGGCCUGUGGAGCAACCACGGGUUUUACUGUGUUUCUUGGACAGAGGACACUUGGGGACAGAAGUGAAUAGCAUGACUAUUUCAUGCUUAUGUAUAUUUUAUGCACUGUAUUUAGUGCCUCUUGGACAUUUAAUGUAUCAAAUAUUUCAUGCUCAGGUGUCUCAUGUAUGCUUGGUAGCUAGGAAUGUUAGGUAUCCUGGACUUUCUAUUCCUUUCUGUGUCUAACACAUGUUCUACUUACUACUUAUCUUAACACAUCUAAUAAAAUCUGC